rnacentral:rRNA from 1 species
CCUACGGGUGGCAGCAGUGAGGAAUAUUGGUCAAUGGACGAGAGUCUGAACCAGCCAAGUAGCGUGAAGGAUGACUGCCCUAUGGGUUGUAAACUUCUUUUAUAAAGGAAUAAAACGAGGCACGUGUGCCUUUUUGCAUGUACUUUAUGAAUAAGGAUCGGCUAACUCCGUGCCAGCAGCCGCGGUAAUACGGAGGAUCCGAGCGUUAUCCGGAUUUAUUGGGUUUAAAGGGAGCGUAGAUGGGUUGUUAAGUCAGUUGUGAAAUUUUACGGCUCAACCUUAAAAUUGCAAUUGAUACUGGCAGUCUUGAGUACAGUUGAGGUAGGAGGAAUUCGUGGUGUAGCGGUGAAAUGCUUAGAUAUCACGAAGAACCCCGAUUGCGAAGGCAGCUUACUAAACUGUGACUGACAUUGAUGCUCGAAAGUGUGGGUAUCAAACAGGAUUAGAUACCCCAGUAGUC